AAAUUAUUUCAAUUUUCUUUCACAAUACUAUUACACUAUAAUUAAAAUUAUUUUUUCUCUAUUAAAUACUAAAACAAAUCUUUAUAUAAUUAUUUUUAAUAAUUUAAAAUUUAAAAAAAUAAAUUAAUAAAUAAAAUAUAAUCAAUUUAUAUUGAUUUGCACAAAAAUCUUUUCAAUGUAAAUGAAAUGCUUUACUUAAUAAGCUUUAAAUUGCAUUCUAGGUACACUUUCCAGUACAUCUACUAUGUUACGACUUAUCUUACCUUAAUAGUAAGAGUGACGGGCGAUGUGUGCAUAUUUUAGAGCUAAAAUCAAACCAUUAAUCUUUAUAAUUUUACUAUCAAAUCCACCUUCAAUAAAUGUUUCAAAUUUAUAUUCGUAUAAAUAAUUUAUUGUAACCCAUUUCUACUUAAAUAUAAGCUACACCUUGAUCUGAUAUAUUUUCUUUUUAAAAAUUAUGAAAAUUAACAUUCUUAUAAAAUAUUCUAAUAACGACGGUAUAUAAACUGGUUACAAACUUAAGUAAGGUCCAUCGUGGAUUAUCGAUUACAGAACAGGUUCCUCUGAAUAGACUAAAAUACCGCCAAAUUUUUUAGGUUUCAAGAACAUAACUA
rnacentral:rRNA from 1 species